CCGAGUCUGUGAUGAGCGCAGCGGUCGGUAGGUGUUUGUUUGUAUGAUAAGUUAGUGCGCACCGCGUGCGUACAGUCAGUCUCUGAUGGAACUCCGUGGAAUACAGACUGGUGCCGCAACUGAGGCAGAACUCGGGACAAUUUAACUUCAAUUUUGAGCUUAUUAGUAUUUUUAUUAGGUUAUAUUUUAUUUUCUCUCACUUCAAGGGUGAUCACACUCCGUUAAGGCUGUAAAAAUGAUGACAGUGUAUUCACACAUUGGACAAUAAAUAGCCUGACUAUCAGAAAGCAUAAUAGGACGAGAAAGCACCUGAAUAAUUUUCUGUGCUCUAUCAAUCUACAGUCAAGUAUUUGUUCCAAGAAAACGAGCAGUGUUUCAUUUGUGUGCGCGUGGAUUUAAUUUCCGGAUAUCUAUCACUGUCAAGCAAUAUUGGACCCGUCCUACACAAAUCUAGGCUGUGCUGAUGUCGCCCGCGGACAGACGCACCGCUGGAUUGUAGCAGUGCCGAUGGAUUAAAACCUUUGGAGGGCGCGAAGGGAGCGGGGCAGCAGGAUGAGUGAGAGACACACCACAGCAAGGAAGUAAAGGGGUUCUACUUCUAAUGGUCUGCAUGGUGACUCUGCUGGAGAUGGCUAGACCAACAGAAGGUCACAGAGUGCAUCAAGUCAGAACCGGCACUUGUGAGGUUGUGGCUUUGCAUCGAUGCUGCAACAAGAACAAAAUAGAAGAACGCUCUCAAACGGUUAAAUGCUCCUGCUUCCCUGGACAAGUGGCCGGGACGACCAGAGCUGCCCCGUCUUGUGUAGAUGCCUCUAUAGUGGAGCAGAAGUGGUGGUGUCAGAUGCAUCCAUGUCUGGAUGGGGAGGAGUGUAAAGUCCUCCCAGAUCUAAAGGGAUGGAGCUGCGCCACGGGGAACAAGAUAAAGACUACCAAGAUCUCAUCGGACAGGGAUCAGCUCUGGUAACCCUUGAUGCCACGGAACCGAAUCAAGGUGGAUCAAUAAAUGUUACUGGGUCUUUACCUGUGGAAUACCAUCAUGGACUCAAGAACAUUGCAGYGACCCUUUUUGUAAAUAGAGACUCCCUCUAUUGGAGACUAUACUAUGAAUCUUCUGGAAGACUUAUAAGCACAGGGUAACAAAGGACAUCUGGAUGAGAAGAGAAGAGUGGACACUACUAAAUGAUUGCUCAGUAGAGGGGACCUUUAUUUUGAAAAGCCCAGACAUGACUAUCACCACAUUGGACAUCAGGAUGUCUUUUUAUUCUCUAACAUUGUUCUGCUUAUAGUGGAUUACAAUGGUUAAUUUUGCCUAAACAUUAUUUGUAAAGUGAUAGUUUUUCUUAGGGAAAUAGUUUUUUUCCCCACAGAAUGCAUUGUGCAUCAUAACUGUAACAGAGUAUCAUCAAUAUCAAGAAUUUCCCCCAUGAAUAUCAGGGACGAGUCAAAUUUGAUCCAGUUUUUAUCAAUUAAAUGAUGGUCAGAAAAUGGAAAGAAGAAGAAAUAUAAAAUUGGUGAACCUUAUUGUAUUGAGCCAAUCAUUGAACAUGCCGGGUGAUUUUCAAAGGAGCACAAAAAAGGCACAGGUACUGGAAUUGGCGUCUGUACACCUCCAUAUUUUUUAAAUGGGUGGCCAUCAUUGUGGGUGGCCGUUCGAUGGUGCUGCGCGCAGGGUACAUAGCUUAUUCAAAUGAGAGUUGCAGUCAAUGGCCAACCAAUGGCAGUUGAGAGAAUGUGAUGUAUCCAAGGCCAAAUUGAUGUAGACUACUGAUGUAUAGGGCAGACUACAAUGUAGGAUUUCCACCACCAAAACUGAAAACUGAAGGUCAUGUUUGAUUUGCAUGUUUUAUUCUAAGGGCAUCAUCUUUCAUUUCAUCUAGAGCAGAUUGGGGCACUAGGUGCAUACUUUUGAAAAUGUACACAUGAAUGAAAGUGGUGCGCAAAUGAGUUACCCCUAGUGUGCUUAGCGUUUGCUUAUGUUCUUUUGAAAAUCCUCCUAUCAACUGCCAGCUGAUCCAGUUAGUUUGUAUAUGUUGCACAAUGCUGAAGCUCAGAUUCGAAUGUCCAUGUAAAGUUUAUGUUAAUGUAUGCAAGCUAAAAUGCAUUCAUUCUACAAUACUGGCUAUAGUCCAUGGGGUUGGUAGGGGCCGGUUAAGUGUUAAAUACUUUUAAAAAUUCAUUUCUGAUUCGCUGAUAACUUUUCAACAGGUAUCUCUGACGCUUCCUUCGUCUGUGCAAGUGMUAACAUCUUCGAAUAAUAAACUGUGGUUGUGUCUUAACUUAA